rnacentral:lncRNA from 1 species
UAUGAACCAGGACAACUUUCUGCCUAAAUCAAAAUCCACAACUACACACAGAAACCAGCCAUUUGCAGCAUCUUCAGCUCCUGCUAAAUAGGGUCUAACAAUAUAUUUCGCUGUUCACAUUCAUGUAUUUCAAAACCUAAUAGCCCAUGAAGAAAAGUAUGAAGAAUACAUCUCAACAAGCAGACAUUAAAGGUACCAGCAAAAUAAUAGACUACAUUUACGUAUGAAGCAUUAUUUUAGGCAACCUACAUCAUUAAUGACUUUUUCUUUGUGGUAAGUGUUAGAAAAGAGAAUGCAUAAGAGGAAUUGACAUAAAUAUUGGCUGCUACUAGAAAAAUUCCUUUCUGGUGAGUGUGAUUAUUCACACACACAGUACUCCUCAAAUGGCUUUGUGGUUUUUUAAAAAAAAUUAUUUGACCUUCAAUGUCUAAAAUUUUUUUUUACACUAUGAAGUAGUUGUGAAGUAAAUAUUUAUCCCUAAAAUUUAUAUUUAAAAUAUCCUAUUUAACUCAUAUAUCACAGUAUGAUAUUUCAUUAUUAUACUU